rnacentral:tRNA from 1 species
CGGGAAGUAGCUCAGUCAGGUAGAGUACUGCGUUCGGGACGCAGGGGCCGGAGGUUCGAAUCCUCUCUUCCCGA